GAUGAACGCUGGCGGCGUGCCUAAUACAUGCAAGUCGAGCGAACAGAUAAGGAGCUUGCUCCUUUGACGUUAGCGGCGGACGGGUGAGUAACACGUGGAUAACCUACCUAUAAGACUGGGAUAACUUCGGGAAACCGGAGCUAAUACCGGAUAACAUAUUGAACCGCAUUGUUCAAUAGUGAAAGGCGGCUUUGCUGUCACUUAUAGAUGGAUCCGCGCCGUAUUAGCUAGUUGGUAAGGUAACGGCUUACCAAGGCAACGAUACGUAGCCGACCUGAGAGGGUGAUCGGCCACACUGGAACUGAGACACGGUCCAGACUCCUACGGGAGGCAGCAGUAGGGAAUCUUCCGCAAUGGGCGAAAGCCUGACGGAGCAACGCCGCGUGAGUGAUGAAGGUCUUCGGAUCGUAAAACUCUGUUAUCAGGGAAGAACAAAUGUGUAAGUAACUGUGCACAUCUUGACGGUACCUGAUCAGAAAGCCACGGCUAACUACGUG
rnacentral:rRNA from 1 species